rnacentral:lncRNA from 1 species
GAUGACCCUCAGAGGCGUGCGGAGUGGCGAUGACAGAGGCGUGGUGGCCGAGCACGCGUGGGGAGGUCGAUGGUUCGGCGGCCGCAUGCUUGGGGCUAGGGUUUUUUACUUGUUUAGCAGAAAAUAUUUUGUGGGCUAAGUUUUUAUGUUUAUUGGGCUUAUUGGGCUUGCAACUGGGUAAUGGGUUUUGUAAUUGUUUUAUUUGGUUUUUAGGCCCCGGGCAAAAUUUAGGCCUUACAGCUGCCCCUCUUUGCUCAUUGUCGUGUAACGAGAACAGAGCAAAGACUAUAAAAGGGACAAAUUUGCCGAGACCUUCCGGGUCUUGACUUCUCUUGGCGUUUCUUUUCUUCAAGUAGCCUCCUUCUAACCCACUGCAACUUCAGAGGUAUAGAAUUUAUUGUUUCAAUCUGCCCUACUACAACUUCAGGGAGGUAAGGUUUGUUUUGAUCUGCUCCACUGUAACUUCGAGAGAUAAGAUCUGUGAUUUAACUUCAAUCUAUUCCACUGUAACUUUAGGGAAAUAAUAUUUGCUAUCUUCAGUCUGCUCCACUGCAACUUCAGAGAGAUAAGACUCGUAAUUUCAACCUACUCCACUGCAACUUCAGGGAGAUAAGGUUGUUUUGAUCUACUCUACUGCAACUUCAGAGAGAUAAGAUCUGUAAUUUAGCUUUAAACUGUUUCACUGCAAUUUUAGGUAAAUAAGAUUUGCUAUCUUUAGUCUGCUCCACUGCAACUCCAGGGAGAUGAGACUUGUGUUGAUCUGCUCUGCUGCAACUUCAAAGAGAUAAGAUCUGUAAUUUAGCUUCAAUCUGUUCCACUGCAACUUUAGGGAAAUAAGAUUUGCUAUCUUCAGUCUGCUCCACUGCAACUUCAGAGAGAUAAGACUUGUAUCUUCGACCUGCUCUACUGCAACUUCAGAGAGAUAAGAUCUAUUUUGAUCUGCUCUACUGCAACUUCAAAGAGAUAAGAUCUGUAAUUUAGCUUUAAUCCGUUCCAGUGUAACUUCAGGGAAAUAAGAUUUGCUAUCUUCAGUCUGCUCCGCUGCAACUUCAGGGAGAUAAGAUUUUUGACUUCAAUCUACUCCGCUGAAACUUCAAGGAGAUCUACUAUGGCUUCGAGCCGCUCCAAUGCCAUUUUAGGGAGAAGAGAUCCACUGAAACUUCAAGGAGAUCUGUUAUGGCUUCUAGCCACUCCAAUGCCAUUUCAGGAAGAAGAGAUCCACUGAAACUUCAAGGAGAUCUACUAUGGCUUUUAGCCGCUCCAACGCCAUUUCAGGAAGAAGAGAUCCACUGAAACUUCAAGGAGAUCUGAUUUGACUUUUAGCCGCUCCAACGCUAUUUCAGGGAAAAGAGAUCCGCUGAAACUUCAAGGAGAUCUGCUGUGGCUUUUAGUCGCUCCAACGCCAUUUCAGGAAGAAGAAAUCCGCUGAAACUUCAAGGAGAUCUGCUGUGGCUUUUAGCCGCUCCAAUGUCAUUUCAGGGAAAAGAGAUCCGCUAAAACCUCAAGGAGAUCUACUGUGGCUUUUAGCCGCCCCAACGCCAUUUCAGGGAAAAGAGAUCCACUGAAACUUCAAGGAGAUCUGCUGUGGCUUUUAGCCACUCCAACUCCAUUUCAGGGGAGAGAGAUCCUCUGAAACUUCAAGGAGAUCUGCUGUGGCUUUUAGCCACUUCAACGCCAUUUCAGGGAAAAGAGAUCCACUGAAACUUCAAGGAGAUCUGCUGUGGCUUUUAGCCGCUCCAACUCCAUUUCAGGGGAGAGAGAUCCUCUGAAACUUCAAGAAGAUCUGCUGUGGCUUUUAGCCACUCCAAUGCCAUUUCAGGGAAAAGAGAUCCACUGAAACUUCAAGAAGAUCUGCUGUGGCUUUUAGCCGCUCCAACGCCAUUUUUGGGGAAAGAGAUCCACUGAAACUUCAAGUAGAUCUGCUGUGGUUUUUAGCCGCUCCAACGCCAUUUCAGGGGAAAGAGAUCCUCUGAAACUUCAAGGAGAUCUGCUGUGGCUUUUAGCCGCUCCAACGCCAUUUCAGAGAGGGGAUUGGUAAUUCAGCCUGUUACCCUACUGCUUAGGGGGUUAAGGCUCACCGUCUUUGAUCUGCUUCCCUAUAACUUAGGGAGUUAAGAUCUGUAAAUUCAACCUGUUACCCUACUGCAUAGGGUUUAAGGCUUGUGAAUUCACUGAUUCUAGGGACAUGACCAGUAGAAUCAGUUCCAUGUAUCUAUGCUUAUGUCAAAUUAUUAGGAUGCUAUGAUCAAAAUGAAUCAAAUGCUCCUAACUAGAUGUGUUAUGAAUGUGUCAAAUAAUUAGGGUGAUAUGAUUGAAAUGAAUCAAAUGCUCCUAAUUAUGAAUGAAAAUGAUCCCUUUAAAAAGGCAUAAGGUAUCAUCGUUCGUUGUUCAUCAGGACAUUAUCAUUGACGUAUUACGCUGCCAUCUUGUCCGGCUGGUAUUCUUGACAGAAAAGUCAAAGAAACAAUCACAUUUUGCUCUGCAGGCUUGCCCCACUAUAAUUUCAGAGUCCCUUCUACUGUACCUUCUGGGAUAUAAAGUUUGUGCCUCCCACUGCAAUUUCAGAGGAACAACAUUUGGUUUCUUUCAUCCAUCCUGCUGCAAAUCAAAGGUGCAUGGUUUGUAUCAUCUUCAAUCAAUUUGAUCUGUUACACUAUUCACCGGGUUGUAAUGACAGAUGUAUAUGUCUGAUAUUUGCAUGAAUGCAGAAUAUCAUUUUUCUUUUCCUUAGAAUAAUCUCAUUGCUCGUUCUUUGCCGGGAUUAUAACAUCAAUGUAUUUCUUUUUGCUCAACCAACAUCUUUGACAGAAAAACCCCAUGAGAUAAUUUCAAUUUGGGCUUAAAUAUUUCCAACCCUUGGGCUUGGUGAGUUCUGAAUAAUAGUCCUGUUUCGAGCUCCUAUACUAUUUAGAAACUUCCAAAGUAAUAUGCAGAACUUCUUUUGUGAAAGUAUUAUUGGUCUAUUAAUCGUUAUUUCAAUGCAAGAUGCUUGAAAAAUAUCAAAACGAUAGAUAAGAAGGAAAUUGGUAGGGAGCAUAGCUCGAAAUGAAUAAAUUAAUCAAAGAUUGCAAAUGCAAUAAGAAGAAAAUUUAUUCGGACAUAUCUUGAAAAGGAUCAAAGAUAACAAAUUCAAAAUGGGCAAAAUAGAAGCUAGAUGACCCAGAUAUCGCAGCUUGAGCUUCUCUGUACCAACUUCUUGAGGACCUUUCUGAGCUCAAUAUGUGUUUAGGGGAUCCGGGGUGCUUUGUCCAUGCCCCAAGACGUAGCAUACUUCUUCAUUCUUAAUUCAGGCAUAGCAAGACUAACGUAUGCCCCACUUUGAUCCAAAUUUGAGCCGCCUAUUUUGGGUUUUCAACUCAAAUCCCCUUUGGUCUCAAGGCGCCCUUUGCGAGUUUUCGCCAUGGCCUCUCCUUUUUCUUUUCUUCUUUCCCCUUUUUUUUGAAGGUCUCAAAACACCCUUUGCGGGUUUUCGCCUUGGCCUCUCACUUUUUAGGUGAAAUACUUCUUGUCGAAAUUCAAAUUUACCAACUUGGGCAAAUCUUUGCCGUCAAUAUUAAUGCCCCUCCAAAAUAGGUCUUCUUUACUACAUAAGGUCCUUCUCAGUUUGGCAUCCACUUUUCUCAGAAGUUCUUUUAUAUAAGAGGGAUCUUUUCAUUAUCAAGUUUCCCUCGUGAAAUUCUAUAGGAUGAACCUCUUCAUCGUAAGCCCACAUCGUUUAUUGGACCAUGACAGAUGGCUUUCAACCUCUUUUCUUCAAAUUUAACUAAUCAUAUCAGGAUUGGAUCCGUUUUGCUUUAUCCAACUACAGCCCUGACGAGACUCGGAGAAAAGGAAUCUCAUCUUCAAAAUUGAUUCUAUCCUAUAAACCAACGAGUAAUGUGUUGCCCCAGCUAAGGUCUUGGCCGACGUUCGAUGAGCAUAGAGGGUACAUGAUGACUUCUUAUGUCGAUCUUUACAAGUCUCAGUCAUCUUUCCAUGAUCUUCUUAUUCUUAUUAUUCUUUUUUUUUUAGAAUUUGAUGAUUGGCAUAUGAAGUGACUUUCACCCUCUUGGCGAAGUAAUUGAUGCCUGCUAGAAGCCUUCGACGAGAUCGGCCCAAUAACCUCAAUGCCCCAUAUAGAGAAAGUCGAAAGAAUGAAUGGGGCACAUGAAUUUUCUCUCCAUAAAUUUGGCAUUUACAGCAUACUGAUGCAAUCCUUUUCUAUGGUGGACCAGCAAAACCCAAAUCUCAUUAUUAGCCUGGCCAGCAUAUGUCAUUCAAAACCCUGCAACAUCCUCAUGUCUUAGUAUCCAGGCGUAUCUUGAUACGAUCGUGCAAAAAUCUUUAAAUUCUUGAAAGUGACUCAAUGACGUCUCGUCUUGCCUUUGUGGUGAUGCAGACUCCGAUGUUUGCCCCUUUCUCUUAUCCUAGGCCUUUGUCCACUGUCUUUUUGUAAGAGAGGAUCUGUUUUCAUCUUACUCUACCAUCCUUAACAAAUCAGAGAGUAGUCUACAUCUCUGUCAUCUUCAAAGUGUUGAGAUCCCUUUAGGCCCAUAUUUCGCUCAAAAGGAGACUCGGAGUCAAUGACAGCGUUACUCACAUCAUUGAUAUCUGGGGACCCGCUGAAGGCAGAUUCCAAAGAAUAAAUGAUUCUAAGGAUGAUUGUUUGUAUGGUAUGAUCAUGGAUGAAGUAUACAUGAAUAUUUGAAAGAAAUUCCAAAGAACAAAUGAAUCUAAGAACAAUUAUUUCUGCAAUAUGAAAUCAAAGAAUAUUUGCUCAAAAAGAUGCAUUUUAUUGAAAUAAAGACUUAGGACACAAGCCUAUUUCACAAAAGGGGUUUAAUUGCUUCUAGGCUUAAAGUAACAAGCGUGUUUUAAAUAUUACUCUAGAUUAGCUCUAAAAAAUAAAGGGAUCUCUUCCACAGUCCCAUUGUUCAAAACACUUCCAAGUAAUGUAACGGUUUGGAAACUUUUAUGCCCCUGUUCCCUCUUCGGAUAUAUCAUUCAGAUUCCUCGAUAUUCCUCCCAGGCUUUGACUUGUUCGAGGCAUCACAAAUUGCGUUUACUGCAUUAUCGGAGUGAUUUGGUUCUGAGGAAUCGUCAAACUUCACUACUCUCAUUUCAAUAAACCUUUCGACCAACUUUUUAAAUAUAGUGCAGUUUUCGGUUGAGUGUCCCCUUAUUCCUGCGUGGUACUCAUAUUGAACAUUCUCAUUAUACCAUUUCGGGAACGGAGGUUGCACAGGUUUCGAGUAGAACGGAGACACCACAUUCCCAUCAAAAAGAUUAUGAUACAACUCCUUAUAUGACAUUGAGAUGGGUGUAAAUCGGAGCCUUUCUGUAUUUGGCCUCGAGUUAGAUUCCUGCCUCGAAGAGCUCUGAUAGCUAGUGGUUACAAUCCUCGGUUGGCCUAUGUUGAGCAAUUUGGAAGGCAUGCUCACGAUGUUCACUUCAUUUUUGCUGUUUCUCAGGGUUGACCUUUUGGCGCUUUCUCCCGCAUCUAUCUUCCCACUCCUGAUUGCGUUUUCGAUCAUUUCACCGGACAUUACUAUAUCUGAGAAGCUCAUGGUAGCGUUUCCCAACAUAUGGGUAAUGAAUGGGGCUUUCAGAGUGUUGACGAAAAGUAUCGAAGUUUCUUUCUCUAGAAGAGGUGGCUGGACUUGCGUUGCUACCUCUCUCCAUCUUUGGGCAUAUUGUCUGAAGCUCUCACUUUGCUUCUUUUCAAUAUUCUGCAGUGUAAUUCUAUCAGGUGCCAUGUCAGUCACGUGGCCAUACUGCUUCAUGAAAGCCCGUGCUAAGUCUUUCCAUGAAUUGAUUUUAGCACGAUUUAAUUUAUUGUACCAUUUAGCUGCUGACCCGAUCAGACUGUCUUGGAAGCAAUGAAUUAAUAAUUGGUCGUUAUUAACAUAUCCAGUCAUCCUUCGACAGAACAUUGUGACGUGAGCUUCAAGACAACUAGUCCCAUUGUACUUUUCAAACUCUGGAGUCCUAAAUUUUGGCGGGAGUACUAAAUCAGGGACCAACUCAAAUCCUUGGCAUCAAUCCCGCGAUAAUAAUCAGCAUUCUCCAUUGCUCUGAGUUUUUCUUCCAACCAUUUGUAUCGAUCUUCGAGAUGCCUUGGUAGUUCAACCUUUGCUUUUUCUAUUCCUUCCAUUUCGUCUAGAUCAGGAACUUCAUGAUUGGUUGGACUGUUCCUUGGAUUGAAACCUGAGCCUGUCGGGUAGUUCAUGGGUGCCGAGGUACCAACCCGAUGUUGUUGUGAUCUGAUAGCAAUAGGUACAUCUUGCGAGCAUGUCUGAUCAUUUAUCGAGGUGAAACCCGGAGGGUAUAGAGGCUCUUCAUUGUCCUCCCCAACAUUGAUCAUGGAGUUUCUUCCUUUUCUUAGCCCCUUAGUCAGUAAUUGGAACAACUGACUCAUCACAUUCCUUUGGGACUCUAACAUUUGGUCCCUCAUGUCUUAUUGGAUCUUCGCCAGUUGCUCUUGCAUUUGCAGUUGUAACUGGUCUUGCAUCUCUUUUUGAAGUUGUUCCAGUCUUUCCAAUCUUUGAUCCAUAUCUUUUGUCCUUUUCCUUGUACCGUAAAGAUGCCUAGUCGCUUGACUUUUAUCGGUUCCCAGGUUAACUAAAAUAAUUUUACCUAAUUAGGGUCUUUUUAGGAAAAGUCCAAUGCAAAUAAUGCAAUGCAAAUGCAAAUGCAUGGAAUGAAUACAAAAGAAAGGAAGGCGUUGAUUCUAAAUUCAAUUCCAUUAGAACAAUUUUUCUAGAAAACAAAUUCCCUUGCAUAAAACAGAUUACAUAUGCGACCUUUCUCUCAUAUUCCAAGCGAAGAUGCCUAUCUUCCUCUUCAUAUCCAGAUGUUAUGGUUGACUCCAAAAGAUGUCCUUAUCGACUCCUUUUUGCUUGAUCUAGGCCGCCACUCAUUGAUACUUAUUGUCGCGAUACUCGUCAGCUCCUUUAAGAAAGUCGAGAUGUGAUGACUAUCGAAUAAUCCUUGUCAGCUUGAAUACUCGGGCAAUGAAACAGAGUUUUGUAUUACUCCAUUACAUAUGCAGUAUUGCCCUCAUAUUCCAGGCGAAAACACCUAUCCUCCUCUUAAUAUCCGGAUGUUAUGGUCGAGUCUUGUGAAGUUUCCAAAAGAUGUCUUUAUCGUUUUCUUUCUGCUCGAUCUAGAUUGCAGCCCAUCGCUCACUUAUCCCCGCGAUGCUCAUUAGCUUCUUUAAGACAUGACGGCUUUCGAAUAAUCUUUGCUAGCUUGAAUCAUCAGGCGAUAAAGCAACAUCGUAUAUUUCUUCAUGGAUUAUUAAUCUUCCUUCAUUGUGUUUACUUGGACCAUAUUUAGACAACCGUGUUAUAAUCCACUUUAUCAAGAAAUUCGUUUUCUUAUGAAAAACUGUUCUAUCCAGCAAUCAAAUAUGAAUCAACACCUCCUUUCUAUGAUGAUGUAAUGCAAUGCAGUUAUAAACAAAACAAAAUAAAAACAAAACACGUUAGUAUAAGAGAAAUAAAUAUCAAAUAAAGCACCUAUUUGGGUGACCACUAGGGGUUUGGAGUGGCUCUACCUAGGGUGGGUUCCUAGGUCUCUCUAUAUGUUGUUUGGUUCUAAAGUAAAGAUACCUGAACCAGCAGAUUCCUUGAUCCUCGCCCAUUAUAGGCUCAUAUGGAUCGAGUUCGAUUCAGGGGAAUACAUUUCCCUACGGCUAUACGGAGAUGAAAACCUCACACAGACGCAGGUACGGAUGUAUCCCGAAAGCGAUCCACUAUCCUAUACGGAGGUGAAGACCUCACGAAGGAGUAGUUUCUCACUUCCACUUAAGAGGGUGAAAUUGACCAAUAAUGCGAUGCGAUAUGCAAAGAUACAUCAAAGAAUUAAACUACUUAAAGCAAGCAUAUUAUGAAGAAAGCAACAAAAAUAACAAACAAUAUGCAAUGCAGAUAAUUUAAAACCGAUUUUCAAUUUUCGACAAAAGACAAAAAUUAAUCAAUUUAAGGUUUGACUCUCGAAUUCCCCAGUGGAGUCGUCAAGCUGUCGUAACCAUUUUUUUUAAAUGGGGAUUGACUUUGGUUUUGAAAGUGAAAAUUAAAAUGGGAGUCACCACCAAUCCUUUUUGAUGAGGUGUGAUCGGGUCACCUUAAAUUAAUCAUUUUAAUAAAAUUUAAGCUUUACUAAAAUGAUAAUUUUUGGUCUACGAAAAUCAAAAAACGAGUUUGGGAGUCGGUUACGCAUAAGGAAGGGUUAGCACCCUCGAUAUGCCCAAAAUUGGUACCUAGUUAAUUAAUUAGUGUCUUAGUGUCAAAAAUUUGAAAACUUGAUAGAAUUUAAAAUAAGAUCCCUCUUUGUAUUAAUGCUAAUUUAAAAAAAAUGAUUGAAUAAAUUAAAACGAAUGUUAAGGACUCUCUCAUCUCGAGGUAAUAAAAUAUCAUGUCCAGUAAGUUAGGACACGACAUCUCGAACUUUGGGACUGAGCUUGCCUUUUAUUUAAAAUUAAUGUAUUUUAACUUCUUUUAAAAGGAUAUUCGGUAAAUUAGGAUGAACGAGGAAAAUCGAAACCCAGUAAGUUAGGGCACGUUUCCCUGAAUUUCGAACACCGAAUAUUAUUUUUAUUUGAGAAUUUUCCUUUUAUGAAAUAAUAGCAAAUAUGCAAUUUAAAAUUAUGUGUAUUUAUUUUGUUUGGAAUAAAAACUGAACGAUCCGUAUUGAGUAAAACAUUGGAACUUAAUACACGAUAUGAUUUGAACUAGAUAAACAAGAGUGUAAAAUGGCGCAUGGAAUAAUGAAACAUGAAUUAGAUACAAUAUUAAUGAAUGCCCCAAUAUGAAGAUGUCAAUAAAUAAUUUCUAAUGCAUAUAAUGACCAUAUUCGCAAUGUAUAUUAUUUUUAUACCAACCAAUAGGCAAAAACAAACGAAGUAAAAUAAUAUACAAAAAAUGAUUUAAGGCAAAUAGGAUAAAAGUUUCAAAUAAAUAAAAAUGUAGUGAUUAAGAUUCAAAACACAUAAUGCCAAAGAAUGGUUCAAGAAGAACUAUAUGUGAAAAAGAUUCAACAUAAAUAAAAUAUAAACAAUUUGGGAUAAAAUAAUAUAUAAGGCAAAUUUCAAAUAAAUAAUAUGUUAAAUGAAUUAAAACAAUACAUAAGGUAAAAUAAAAGGACCCUUUAAAACAAUAAGAGCGUUUGAAAUAAAUAAUAUGUGAAAGAGAAAUUUAAAAAUAAUACUAAUAAUAAUAAUAUACAAAAACAGUUUAAACAAAAAUAGAUAAACAUAAUCCAAAGUGAGAUAUAUAUAUAUAAAAGUUUUAAAAUAAGUAACACAUAGAAAGUUCAAAACGAACAACAAUAAAAGGAAUUUGAAAACGGUUAACACUUAAGAAAAUUUAAAAUAUGUUAUAUAUAUACAAUAAUUUAAAAUAGAAGGUAUGUAUGUAAAGAUAUAAAAUAAAUAAAUAAAUAAAUAAAUAGUAAAAUGACAAUAAUAGGAAAUGAUGAAAAUAAAUAAAGCUCAUUUUAAAGAUUUGAUAAAAAAAUGAUAUUAACGAUAUAAUAAAAAAAUCUGUAGUUUAAAAGAAAACUAUGUAAAGGAUAUAAAUAAAUAAAAUGAUAACAACAAGAAUAAAAUACGUAAAAAAAUAAAAUAUGUAAAGGAUAUAAAUAAAUAAAAUGAUAAUAACAAGAAUAAAAUACGUAAAAAAAAAUAAAAGUAACAUUAAUAUAUAAAUAUAGAUAGAAGUAUAAUGAAUGGAAAUGUAAUAGAAACAUAAAUAAAUAAAUAAAAUUAGAGAAAUGAUGAUAAUGUCAGAAUAAUAAAGUAAACAUGAGUAUAAAUAUAAUACCAAUAGUAAUAAUAUAAUAAUGACAAAAGUAACAAUAAUAAUAAUAAUAAUAAUAAUAAUAAUAAUAUCAAUAAUAAUUAUGAUGAUGAUGAUGAUAAAGAAAAUGAGUAAUUAAUGAAAGAAAAUAUAGAUAUAAAAAAAUGAAUGAUAGAUGAAUAAAUAAUAAAAUAAUAAAAGAUAACAAAAUGGAAACAACAAAAGUAAAUAAAAUUGAAAAGAAAUAAAAGAAUUAUGAAUUAAUGAUUCCAAUAGUGUAAACGAAUAAUAUUCACCAAUAAAUAAAUGAACAAGUAAAACAAAAGAAUAAUGGAAAAAUAUAUUUAUAAACAAAUAAACAGAUGAAUGAGUGAGUAAACAAACAAAAAUGUACUAAUUUGAAAGUCAAAUGGGGUUUUGGGGUAAAAAUAGAAAUAAAAUAAAGUCAAAGGACCAAAUUGCGGUGCGCUGAAACUAGCAGGGACUAAACAGGAUAAUAUCCCUAGUCCUUUUGCGUUGCGUUUUGACUAACAAGGCCCUGGGUUAAAUUAAAAAUGAAAUAAAAUUAAAGAGGAGAAUUUGAAGAAAAAUAAAAAGGAAAAUGGGAUUAGAAUGAAAACCUAGAAAAUUCGAAGGGACUAGCUACACAAAUUAUCCAUUUUAGGCGCAUGGACCCUUUCCUUCUACCCAAACGGCAUUGUUUUAGUUAAUGUAUAAAAUGGCCAAUUUUUUUUUUUAAAAAGGAAUCUUUCAUUUUCUUUCUUUUCCAGAAACGAACAGCAGCUGUUCCCCCCCACCAUUUUCUUCAUUUUUUAGAUCUGCUAGGGUUUCAAAAGGAACCCAUUUCGCCGCCGUCGUCGGACUGCCACCUUAUACGAUGGCCGGCGUUCCCAAAUCACCCUUUUUUCGGCUGAUUUGGCUCUCCCUACCUCGUUUUAAAACCCAAAACUCUUAAAAAAUAAAAUAACAGACAAUAAACCCUCGGUUUCCUCCUCCAAUCUUAAGAAAGGUAAUGUUUUUUUUCUUCUCUUUUCUUUUUAUUUUCUUUUUUUCUAUCAAAAACAAGCAUGAAAGCAAAAUAAUCAAGAAAAAGGAACAACCUUUUUACUAUUUUUUGUAUUUCGAUUUCUAUGGGACCUUUUUUGUAUUGAUUUUUUGAAUAUUCAAGAAUCCCCCCAUUUACAACCGGUUCCCCUUUUUGAAUUUGGAAAAACCGCUUUUUUUAAUUCAGAAAAAAAAACCCCCUUAAUACAUUCGCUUCUUCUCGGCUUUAUAGCCUGUUACAAUAUUAGGAAAAUAUUAUUUAUUUUUGUCAUUUUUGUUUGUCUGCUUCUGUCUUGGUGUCUGCUUCAUUUUGCAGGUGUCAGAUGACCCUCAGAAGCGUACGGAGUGGCGAUGACAGAGGCGUGGUGGCCGAGCACACGUGGGGAGGCCGAUGGUUCGGCGGCCAUAUGCUUGGGGCUAGGGUUUUUUACUUGUUUAGCAGAAAAUAUUUUGUGGGCUAAGUUUUUAUGUUUAUUGGGCUUAUUGGGCUUGCAACUGGGUAAUGGGUUUUGUAAUUGUUUUAUUUGGUUUUUGGGCCCCGGGCAAAAUUUGGGCCUUACACAGUCGCUUCCACCAUAUCUUCAAACACAGAUCGAUAUAUUGGAAAUACAAAAUAGAGAGUUGCAGUCAACGUUCAGUGGGUAACUAAAACACUGCGUAGAAUUGAUUUUGAGAUAUGGGUACUGCAAAAGCAGUGAGAAUCAGUGGAUGCGAGUGAUGGAGUGUACUGUGAAAAUGAAAAUGAAAAAAAAAAAGAGAAUCAAAGGGACUUCGGUGAAAAUCAAAGGUAUUUUGAUUUGGGGAUUUGGGGAAACCGAUUUGAGGAUAUCGAAUUGGGGGAAGUUUUAUGGGAUUUGGAGAUUCAAGGUUUGGGGAACUAGACGUUCAGGGGUAAUCUGAAUUGGAGAAAGUAAAGGAAAUUUGGGGCUCCAAAAAACGAAGUCGUUUUCAAUCUAUUAAGAGAUGUUUGUGGCGUUUUUUAUAAAAACGACGGUAAUUUUGCAGCGUUUUUAAGAAACGCCACUAAGUAUGCAGCC